UACGAAGGGGGCUAGCGUUGCUCGGAAUUACUGGGCGUAAAGCGCACGUAGGCGGCUUUCUAAGUCGGGUGUGAAAUCCUGGAGCUCAACUCCAGAACUGCCUUCGAUACUGGAAAGCUCGAGUCCGGGAGAGGUGAGUGGAACUGCGAGUGUAGAGGUGAAAUUCGUAGAUAUUCGCAAGAACACCAGUGGCGAAGGCGGCUCACUGGCCCGGUACUGACGCUGAGGUGCGAAAGCGUGGGGAGCAAACAGG
rnacentral:rRNA from 1 species